rnacentral:tRNA from 3 species
GCGAGGGUGGCGGAAUUGGCAGACGCGCUAGAUUCAGGUUCUAGUGGGAGCAAUCCUGUGUGGGUUCAAGUCCCAUCCUUCGCACCA